GGCAGAUCAGGGAGCCGGCUCCGCACGAGGGUCCUGGGCUCCUCAGGAAAGCAGCGCGAGGGGAAGCCAAGCGCGACACUGACCCAGGACGCUGCGCUGGGAGCUUUCUAUCCCUCAAAACCCUCGGAAGCAGACGGUGUUCCUGCUUCCCUAAUCCUUUAAAAGAACUAAAGCUGAGAUACAUGAGGUAAAUGAUGUCUCUGUGGUAGCGGCACCUUUCAGCACAGUGAUCAGCGCCGUCAGGAGGGCCGCAGACCUGCUCUUUCGGCCGUGUUUGCAGGACGCGUCCACGUUCCUUGCCGUCGGUCCGCACGCAGCGCGCCUCCGGCCUUUCCCUUAGUGCCCACCCUCUGCCCCUCCUGACUCUCGGUCCUGUUCCGCAUCCCAAAAGCUCCAUCGUCAUCAUCCCCCAAGGUUUUCCCCUUUCUUUCCUCCUCUCUGUCCUGUCCCUCCGUCUCUGUGGAACAUUCCGGAAAGCAGUCUCUCCCGACGGUGCACGGUAUCCCAGCGCAGAUGGAUGUUUUAAUGAUAGGAACAAUGACGCGUUUGUCAAAGGAAAGAAAAGAACGUGCUUUGAUUCCACCAUCUCUAGUCCUCAGACAAACUUCACCUGAGGGCUUCUCCAAUGGGUAAGAAACAAGGGAAGACCAAGGGAGGAUCGUCAGGGACUGAAGAAGACUAAGGAGAUAGGACCACCGCCUGCAAUGUCCUGCCUGGGUGUGGCCACCAGAACAGCAAGAAAUCAUUGAGGAAAAAGAUAAUAAAAUCCAUAUAUGGUAAGUAGCAUUGCACUGAUAUCAGUAUCUCAGUGUUGACCAUGUUACUAUGCAAGAUAAAGAUGUUAACCAUAG
rnacentral:lncRNA from 1 species